rnacentral:rRNA from 1 species
GAUGAACGCUAGCGGCAGGCUUAAUACAUGCAAGUCGAGGGACAGCACAGGUAGCAAUACUGGGUGGUAACCGGCAAACGGGUGCGGAACACGUACACAACCUUCCUUUAGGUGGGGGAUAGCCCAGAGAAAUUUGGAUUAAUACCCCGUAAUAUAGUUGAAUGGCAUCAUUUGAUUAUUAUAGCUACGGCGCUUAAUGAUGGGUGUGCGGCUGAUUAGAUAGUUGGCGGGGUAACGGCCCACCAAGUCUACGAUCAGUAGCGGAUGUGAGAGAAUGAUCAGCAACACGGGAAGUGAGCCACAGGCCCGACUCCUACGGGAGGAAGCAGUAAGGAAUAUUGGUAAAUGGACGCAAGUCUGAACCAGCCAUGCCGCGUGAAGGAUUAAGGUCCUCUGGAUUGUAAACUUCGUUUAUUUGGGAAGAAAAAGGGCCUUUCUAGGUCAACUGACGGUACCAGAUGAAUAAGCACCGGCUAACUCCGUGCCAGCAGCCGCGGUAAUAC